GAUGAACGCUAGCGGCAGGCCUAACACAUGCAAGUCGAGGGGAAGGUUACUUUCGGGUAACUGAGACCGGCGUACGGGUGCGUAACGCGUAUACAAUCUGCCUUUCACUGGGGGAUAGCCCGAAGAAAUUUGGAUUAAUACCCCAUAGUAUAGUAAUACGGCAUCGUGAUGCUAUUAAAGCUUAGGUGGUGAAAGAUGAGUAUGCGUUCUAUUAGCUAGUUGGAGAGGUAACGGCUCCCCAAGGCGAUGAUAGAUAGGGGUUCUGAGGGGGAUGUCCCCCACACUGGUACUGAGAUACGGACCAGACUCCUACGGGAGGCAGCAGUGAGGAAUAUUGGACAAUGGUCGGAAGACUAAUCCAGCCAUGCCGCGUGCAGGAUGAAGGUCUUAUGGAUUGUAAACUGCUUUUGUAAGGGAAGAAUAAGGGCUACGCGUAGUUUGAUGACGGUACCUUACGAAUAAGCAUCGGCUAACUCCGUG
rnacentral:rRNA from 1 species